rnacentral:rRNA from 1 species
AUGGAGACUGCCAUAUCUGCAGUUGCAGGUGAACUCGUGAGCCAGUUCAUCUCCUUCCUGAUGAACAAGUACAACUCCUUCAGCCAUGCCUGGUCAGAGGAGGAGAAGGCGGUGGAGAGGUUGCAGCACCUCCUGAUGAGAGCUGGCACCAUCGUUGAGGAGGCAGACGCGCGAUAUAUAACCAACUCCGGGAUGAUGAUGCAGCUUAAGACGCUCUCAGAGGCCAUGUACCGAGGAUACCGUGUGCUGGACAACUCAAGGUACCAUGCCCUCCAAGACAGUGCCGGCUUCGAUGAGGUUAGAAUCAACGACUCAUCUAGGAACAACUUAUAUAUAGCCAAGCGCUCACGAAUAACAAAUGAUAUGGCCACGUGCCUCGAGUCACAUGGUGCCUUGGAAAGGUUAGAAAUUGCUGUUGCUAACAUGGCAGAAUUUGCUGUGCUUCUGGGUGGAUUUGAGCGUAUGUCUCGUAGGCCAUAUGAUGUUUAUCUUUACACCGACAACUUCAUGUUUGCCCGACACGCUGAAAAGCAAAAGCUCUUGAGCUUCUUGUUGCAGCGUAAAGGCCCUCCUGGAGAUCAUACUCUGGCAGUUCUUCCGAUCAUAGGUGAUGCCACAACGGGGAAGAAAUCUUUGGUUGCUCAUAUGUGCGGCGACGAAAGGGUUCGCUCGAGCUUCUCCUCUGUACUGCACUUGAAUGGAGACAACCUUUUGAGAAUACUUGACCAUGGAAGGACCAUGGAAGGGAUGAUCUUGAUAGUUAUUGAGUUUGCUUCUGAUGUAAGUGACGAUGACUGGAAAAGGUUUCACUCAUUUGUCAUAACAAUGGGCAGAGGAAGGAAGAUCAUCAUCAUAAGUAAACUUAAAAGAUUAGCCCGGUUUGGAUCAGUGAAACCAAUUUUCCUAAGCCUUCUGUCUGACGACGAGUUGAGGUACCUUUUCAAGAAGCUGGCAUUCGGAAGUGUAGACCGUGCAGAACAUCCAUGGCUAGUACAAAUAGCAGAUGAAUUCGUCAAGGUGUUGCAGAAUAUGGAAGGUUCAAUUGUCGCAACAAAUUUGUACGCAGAUGUGUUGAGAAAGAAUCUCAAUGUUCAGUUUUGGCGUUGCAUAUUGGACAAGGGGAGAAGAUAUGCUAACAGAAACCAAUAG